GGGGCUGAACAGGAUUUCGACAAGGGUUGCAUAGCGUGGAUUGCAUGCCAAGUGUCUCUUGUAAAACGACACAAACAAUAACCGUAAACAAUCCUAAUUACGCUCCCAACUACGCUAAAGCUGCGUAGCGAGCUGGAAGUUUGUGGGGUCGCUGGUGUCCUGCAGGCGUUCCAUUACUUUUUGCCAGAUGCCUUUAAAAAGUGCUCGCUUUUUAGAGUAAGAUUUAGAGCUAGGGGUCUUUUAAAAGCUGGAGAGGUGGCUUAGAGAGAACCCGAAUUUUUAACACUUCUCUAAGCAUGUAGAUGUCCACGGAUGGAUGUGAUUUUUGGACUGGGGUUCGAUUCCCCACAGCUCCACCA
rfam:Helicobacter felis ATCC 49179 genome.